UCCACCCCUCACUCUGCAGCUCUGCCGAGGAGCCCAGCCCUGGAGUCCCAGGUGUUUCCUUUCAGGGAUCGGGACUGAGCACAGACAGCCCACAAUGGAGCUUGCGCUGAGAUGGGUUUUCCUUGUUGCUGUUUUAAAAGGUGUCCAGGCUGAGGUGCAGCUGGUAGAGUCUGGAGGAGGCUUGGUGCAACCUGAGGGGUCCUUGAGACUGUCCUGCGUGACCUCCGGAUUCACCUUUAGCGAUUACUACAUGCACUGGAUCCGCCAGGCUCCAGGAAAGGACCUAGAGUGGGUUGGUUUUAUCAGAAACGCAGCUUAUAGUCACACAACAGAGUACGCUGCAUCCGUGAAAGGCAGAUUCACCAUCUCCAGGGAUAAUGCCAAAAGCACAGUGUAUCUUCAAAUGACCAAACUGAAACCCGAGGACACCGCUGUGUACUACUGUGCAAGAGACACAGUGAGAGGACAUCAAUGUGAGCCCUUACACAAACCUCCCUGCUGUGGUACUCUGGACCAGCAGGGGGCGCACAGGACACACGGAGUUCAGCCCUGUGCAGGACAGGAGCACAGGAUGGAGCAGAAUUAUUUCCUGUGGAGAUGUGAGGCUUCGGUCCACGUGACGUAUUUCCCGGGAGACUCUGCAUUCGAAAAAUUCGCCGCGUCCAUUAAGAAAACCAGGAAGGCUUUGAAAAGCCAGGAGUAA